UACGAAGGGGGCUAGCGUUGUUCGGAAUUACUGGGCGUAAAGCGCGCGUAGGCGGUGAUCUUUGUCAGAGGUGAAAGCCUGGGGCUCAACUCCAGAAUUGCCUUUGAAACGGGAUCGCUUGAGUCCGAGAGAGGAUGGCGGAAUUCCUGGUGUAGCGGUGAAAUGCGCAGAUAUCAGGAAGAACACCCGUGGCUAAGGCGGCUCUCUAGUACGGUACUGACGCUGAGACGCGAAAGCGUGGGGAGCGAACAGG
rnacentral:rRNA from 1 species